rnacentral:rRNA from 1 species
UACGUAGGGUGCGAGCGUUGUCCGGAAUUAUUGGGCGUAAAGAGCUCGUAGGCGGCUUGUCACGUCGGGUGUGAAAGCCCGGGGCUUAACCCCGGGUCUGCAUUCGAUACGGGCUAGCUAGAGUGUGGUAGGGGAGAUCGGAAUUCCUGGUGUAGCGGUGAAAUGCGCAGAUAUCAGGAGGAACACCGGUGGCGAAGGCGGAUCUCUGGGCCAGUACUGACGCUGAGGAGCGAAAGCGUGGGGAGCGAACAGG